rnacentral:rRNA from 1 species
UGAAGGAACUAGGCAAAAUGGUGCCGUAACUUCGGGAGAAGGCACGCUGGCGCGUAGGUGAAGAGACUUGCUCUCGGAGCUGAAGCCAGUCGCAGAUACCAGCUGGCUGCAACUGUUUAAUAAAAACACAGCACUGUGCAAACACGAAAGUGGACGUAUACGGUGUGACGCCUGCCCGGUGCUGGAAGGUUAAUUGAUGGGGUCAGCCGCAAGGCGAAGCUCUUGAUCGAAGCCCCAGUAAACGGCGGCCGUAACUAUAACGGUCCUAAGGUAGCGAAAUUCCUUGUCGGGUAAGUUCCGACCUGCACGAAUGGCGUAAUGAUGGCCAGGCUGUCUCCACCCGAGACUCAGUGAAAUUGAACUCGCUGUGAAGAUGCAGUGUACCCGCGGCAAGACGGAAAGACCCCGUGAACCUUUACUAUAGCUUGACACUGAACAUUGAGCCUUGAUGUGUAGGAUAGGUGGGAGGCUUUGAAGUGUGGACGCCAGUCUGCAUGGAGCCAACCUUGAAAUACCACCCUUUAAUGU